UAGGGAAUCUUCCGCAAUGGACGAAAGUCUGACGGAGCAACGCCGCGUGAGUGAAGAAGGUUUUCGGAUCGUAAAACUCUGUUGUUAGAGAAGAACAAGGAUGAGAGUAACUGCUCGUCCCUUGACGGUAUCUAACCAGAAAGCCAUGGCUAACUACGUGCCAGCAGCCGCGGUAAUACGUAGAUGGCAAGCGUUGUCCGGAUUUAUUGGGCGUAAAGCGAGCGCAGGCGGUUCUUUAAGUCUGAUGUGAAAGCCCCUGGCUCAACCAGGGAGGGUCAUUGGAAACUGGAGAACUUGAGUGCAGAAGAGGAAAGUGGAAUUCCAUGUGUAGCGGUGAAAUGCGUAGAUAUAUGGAGGAACGCCAGUGGCGAAGGCGACUUUCUGGUCUGUAACUGACGCUGAGGCUCGAAAGCAUGGGGAGCAAACAGG
rnacentral:rRNA from 1 species